CACGUAGUUAGCCGGUGCUUCUUAUCUACCUACCGUCACCACAAGUGGCUUCGUCGAUAGCGAAAGGAGUUUACAACCCGAAGGCCUUCAUCCCCCACGCGGCGUCGCUGCAUCAGGCUUGCGCCCAUUGUACAAUAUUCCCCACUGCUGCCUCCCGUAGGAGUCUGGGCCGUAUCUCAGUCCCAAUGUGUCCGUACACCCUCUCAGGCCGGAUACCCGUCGCCGCCUUGGUAGGCCAUUACCCCACCAACAAGCUGAUAGGCCGCAGGCUCAUCCCACACCGCAAAAGCUUUCCACCACACCAUCCAAGAUGCGGUCCUAUAUGGUAUUAGACCCAGUUUCCCAGGCUUAUCCCACAGUGCAGGGCAGAUCACCCACGUGUACUCACCCGUUCGCCACUCGAGUACCUCUAGCAAGCUAGAGGCCUUUCGUUCGACUUGCAUGCGUUAAGCACGCCGCCAGCCGUUCAUCCUGAGCCAGGAUCAAAACUCU
rnacentral:rRNA from 1 species